CAACAAUUAAUCCAACAAAAGAGGAAUUAAAAACAUCAGCAGGGACACUGACAACAGCAUCAAAUAUUCCAUCUGGAGUUCAUUCAGGGUUUAUCAUCGUUGCUGUGAUUUUAGUAACACUGUUAAUCAUUGUUGUGCUGAUCAUCAGAUGGAAGAAAACUAAAGGUGAAAACAAUCACAGAUUAAAGUUUAUGAUAAGUUGACUCAUAAGUAAACUCAUCUUUUUUUCUCUUUUCAGAAAAAAAAAACACAAUGUGGCAACAACACGGGACUGAGCUUAAACCCUGCAGAUACUCAGUCUGGUCCAGGAUCCAGUCAGGACACGGCUGAUGCUGAUGAUGGUGUUUCCUACGUCUCCAUCAGUUUCACCAAGAAGUCCAAGAAUAAAUCCAGGUCCCGUGGUGAUCAUGAUGAUGAUGAUGGUGACACUGUGACCUACAGCACUGUGAAAGCUUCUUCCUCACCUGCUGGAAUUUCC